rnacentral:rRNA from 1 species
GUAUACGGCCAUACCACGUUGAAAGCACCAGUUCUCGUCCGAUCACUGAAGUUAAGCAACGUCGGGCUCGGUUAGUACUUGGAUGGGUGACCGCCUGAGAACUCCGAGUGCUGUAGACG